rnacentral:tRNA from 1 species
CUAGGACUCUAGGAAUUGAACCUACACUUAAGAAUUCAAAAAUCUUCGUGCUACCAAAAUACACCAAAUCCUA